rnacentral:lncRNA from 1 species
UAAUCACCAUGUCAACAUCUGAAGGUGAAUUUUUAUUUUCACAUAUUUAUAAGCUCGGAUCGCCACGUGCCUACUAAAACAGUAUAACUUGUUUGGUAAGUUACAUGACUUGUUCAUUGUGAACUAACUAUACUGAAAAGACAAAAUUUUAAAAAAUCUUGUGAAAUAGGAUGUGACCGGAAUAAUGAAAUAUAUAUAGAGUUAAAAAAAUCACAAACUUUUGGUAACGUUUGCUUCCCAAUAAAAGCAGUCAACUCUAAAUACGUUUAGGCGCUCCUAAGGGGAGCCUAACCACCGGAGGGCCAAUUUAACAAUUUUUUUUCAUGCAUUCCUAAAUCUCAUGUAUACGAGUUUUAGGUUUGUAAAAAAAAAAAAAAGGGUUUCGCACGAUGCCAGUCAACCGCUUUUCGUGUAAAAAAUGAUGUUGAUUUAGGUUGACCGGUUCGAGGGGGGGUCUAACGAAUCCGAAAUAUGGUGAAUUUUUUUCAGUAGGCCAAUUUAAUCACCAUGUCUACAUCUGACGGUGAAAUUUUUAUUUUCAUAUAUUUAUGACCUCGGAUCGCCACGUACUUACUAAAGCGGUAUAACUUGUUUAAUAAGUUAUAUGACUUGUACAUCAUUGUGAUCCAACUAUACUAAAAGGACAAAAUUUUCAAAAAUCUUAUGAAAUAGGAUGUGACGGAAUAGUGAAAUACAUAUAGGGUUAAAAAUCACAAACUUUCGGUAAUGUUUGCUUCCCGAUAAAAGCAGCCAACUCGAAAAAUGCUUAGGCGCUCCUAAGAAGAGCCUAACCACCGGAGGGUCAAUUUAAGAAUUUUUUUUCAUGGGUUCCUAAAUCUCAUGUAUACAAGUUUCAAGUUAAAAAACGAGGAAAUAUA